rnacentral:rRNA from 1 species
CCGGAUGAUCAAGGGUUCCAGGGUCAAGCUAAUCUGCCCUGGGUCAGUCGGGACCUAAGUCGAGGCCGAUAGGCGUAGACGAUGGACAACGGGUUGAUAUUCCCGUACUGACGAAGAACCGCCCAAACCAAUCCAGUAAUGCUAAGUAUCUGAAUCCCCUAGACCAAUCCCUUCGGGGUGAGGCGUGGGGCCUAGCGUACGACCCUAUUCUGGUGCGGUUAGCGUAUUAACAGGUGUGACGCAGGAAGGUAGCUGAGCCGGGCGAUGGUUGUCCCGGUCUAAGAAUGUAGGCCGAGAGAUAGGCAAAUCCGUCUCUCAUUACGGCUGAGACUCGAUGGGUAGUCCUCACGGACGAAAUCAGUGAUCCUAUGCUGCCAAGAAAAGCAUCGACGCGAGGUUCAAGUUACCCGUACCCCAAACCGACUCAGGUGAUCAGGUAGAGAAUACUAAGGAGAUCGAGAGAAUCGUGGUUAAGGAACUCGGCAAAAUGCCCCCGUAACUUCGGGAGAAGGGGGGCCUAAGGCGUGAACGGACUUGCUCCGGGAGCGCUGCAGGGCCGCAGAGACCAGUGGGAAGCGACUGUUUACUAAAAACACAGGUCCGUGCUAAGUCGCAAGACGAUGUAUACGGACUGACGCCUGCCCGGUGCUGGAAGGUUAAGAGGAACGGUUAGCCGUAAGGCGAAGCUGUGAAUUUAAGCCCCAGUAAACGGCGGUGGUAACUAUAACCAUCCUAAGGUAGCGAAAUUCCUUGUCGGGUAAGUUCCGACCUGCACGAAUGGCGUAACGACUUCCCCGCUGUCUCAACCAGGGACUCAGUGAAAGCGAAUUAGCGGUGAAGA